UACGUAGGGUGCGAGCGUUAAUCGGAAUUACUGGGCGUAAAGUGUGCGCAGGCGGCCGCGCAAGUCGAGUGUGAAAGCCCCGGGCUUAACUUGGGAAUUGCGCUCGAAACUACGUGGCUGGAGUGUGGCAGAGGAAGGUGGAAUUCCAGGUGUAGCGGUGAAAUGCGUAGAGAUCUGGAGGAACACCGAUGGCGAAGGCGGCCCGCUGGGCAGUGGCUGACGCUGAGGCGCGACAGCGUGGGGAGCAAACAGG
rnacentral:rRNA from 1 species